rnacentral:rRNA from 1 species
CCACUAUGCUUAGCCCUAAACACAAAUAAUUGCAUAAACAAAAUUAUUCGCCAGAGUACUACCGGCAACAGCCUAAAACUCAAAGGACUUGGCGGUGCUUUAUACCCUUCU